UCCUUUGUAGUGUAGUGGUUAACAUAUCGCGUUUUCAUUCAUCCCCCACAAGGACAAUUAAUCCGCGAAGCCCGGGGUUCAAUUCCCCGCAAGGGAG